rnacentral:rRNA from 2 species
UCUGGUGGCGAUAGCGAAGAGGUCACACCCGUUCCCAUACCGAACACGGAAGUUAAGCUCUUUAGCGCUAAUGGUAGUUGGGACUUUGUCCCUGUGAGAGUAGGACGUUGCCAGGC